GACAGAGGUGCCAAGCGUUAGGCGGAAUCACUGGGCUUAAAGCGUGUGUAGGCGGUCGAUCAAGUACCUUGUGAAAUCCCACGGCUCAACCGUGGAACUGCUGGGUAUACUGGUUGACUUGAGCCAGCUAGGGGCGAGCGGAACAGACGGUGGAGCGGUGAAAUGCGUAGAUAUGACAUAGAACAUCGAUUGCGAAGGCAGCUCGCUACGCUAUUAUUGACACUGAGGCACGAAAGCGUGGGGAUCAAACAGG
rnacentral:rRNA from 1 species